rnacentral:rRNA from 1 species
GUAGUUAGCCGGGGCUUCCUCCUUGGCUACCGUCACUUUCUUCGUCACCAAGGACAGAGGUUUACAACCCGAAAGCCUUCUUCCCUCACGCGGCGUUGCUGGGUCAGGGUUUCCCCCAUUGCCCAAUAUUCCCCACUGCUGCCUCCCGUAGGAGUUUGGACCGUGUCUCAGUUCCAAUGUGGCCGAUCACCCUCUCAGGUCGGCUACCCAUCGCGGUCUUGGUGGGCCGUUACCUCACCAACUAACUAAUGGGACGCGAGCCCAUCUGCAAACGAUAAAUCUUUGACCCCUUAGCCAUGUGACUCUGUGGUCUUAUGCGGUAUUAGCAGCCGUUUCCAGCUGUUGUCCCCCUUUUGCAGGUAGGUUGCUCACGCGUUACUCACCCGUCCGCCACUCAGUCUAUACAUGUUUCAAUCCGAAGAAAUCAACUCGUAUAGCUUCGUUCAACUUGCAUGUGUUAAGCACGCCGCCAGCGUUCGUCCUGAGCCAGGAUCAAACUCUGA